rnacentral:lncRNA from 1 species
GAAACAAAUGAUGAUGGGAGCUCUGUGUAGGAAGUUCUGACCACUUGAACUUCUCAGAGGCUAUGGAAUUCAGAGAAAGGGAGAACUUGAAUGGGGAACUUGAUCUUCUCCAACCAAUAAUUAGAACCACACGUCAACCAGCCUCCCAGGUCUCCACCGUUCAAAUUCCAUGGGGAGAGAAGUCCAGCAGGCACGGGGCUUGUACUAUCAGGAGGCAUCUAUCACACAGUUCAAGCAAACUUGGCAGCUCCGUGGAAUCCACUGAACGCAAGGCCUUCAUGCUAGUGGGGGAGGAAGGCGGCAGGAGCAUUUGCCACUCAAAAGGCAAAGGUGCUCAAGACCUGUGGAAUGCAUGCACCUACCCUCCUGGACUCUCCACCUACGGGUCACACUGGCCAGCAGGUGGAGCUGCUGGUUCACCUCCUUGUCAGAGUCCGUGUAACCUGGGAAGGCCAGCUGGACAGGAGUUAGAAUCCUGUUUGAGUCAGGUCUUGAGCCAUUCUCUCCACAUGUUAUGGUCAAGCACCCAGUCUUCUAGUCGGCACUGUCCCUGGCUAAGCUUUGUCUAUAUAUGCUUUGACCUGUGCAGAGCAACCCUUACUUGCGCAUGCUCAGACUUGCUUAAUGGCGACUCCCUGGCAGAAAUCUUGUGUCAUGCAGAGAGUGAUAGGGGAGUGUGGGUGCAGUUUGUUGGGAAGAUUGCGUGAGUCUCAAACGAGGUUUUAUUUGAAGGCAUAAUUGAACCCUUUAUUUUUUUCCUUCUCCAUUCAAGGAGAAAUAUCUCAUUUGUAGAAACACCUCAUUUGGGUGUCAGAGCCUCGGGCUAGGUCACUCUCCGUAAGUACAAGGUAAAGGAGCACUUAGGCACGGAACACUUUUACAAGUCACUUAUUCAGUUGUUAACAGGCACUGAAGAAGGAUUAGGACCACAAGACAAACAGAAACCCAUUCUAGGACUACAAGACAAACAGAAACCAUUCCUGCCUUCACCUUCAAUGUAGAGGAUCAUGAGAAAGCAAG